rnacentral:rRNA from 1 species
UACGACUACAUAUCAGGCAUAUCAAUAAGCGGAGGAAAAGAAACUAAUAAGGAUUCCCUUAGUAACGGCGAGUGAAGCGGGAAGAGCUCAAAUUUGAAAUCUUCAAGGUUUUACCUUGACGAAUUGUAGUUUAAAGAAGUGUUUUCUGUUGGAGUUUUGGUAAAAGUUCUUUGGAAUAGGACAUCAUAGAGGGUGAGAAUCCCGUAUUUGACCAUUUCUUCCAGCUGUGUGAUACACUUUCAAAGAGUCGGAUUGUUUGGGAAUGCAGUCCAAAAUGGGUGGUAAAUUUCAUCUAAAGCUAAAUAUUGGCGAGAGACCGAUAGCGAACAAGUACCGUGAGGGAAAGAUGAAAAGAACUUUGAAAAGAGAGUUAAACAGUACGUGAAAUUGUCAAAAGGGAAGCGUUUGACACCAGUGUUGUUUUCUCGAAAAUCAAUUAAAAAUGGCCGGAUUUUGUGUUGUAUUGACUUUAUCAGCUUUCUGCACUUUUUUCCUGUCUUUUUUAAUGCACUUUUCGUUUAACAAGUCAACAUCAAUUUCUUUUGUUGUAAAAGAGUCAUUGGAAGGUGGCUUUCACUUCGGUGAAAGUGUUUAUAGCCUUUGACUUCUGCAAUCGGAGAGAUUGAGGUCUGCAGCGUAGAUCCUUCGGGGUUAGAUACAUUUGUGCUAAGUUAUAGCUUUUCAUAGACAACAUUGUUGACUAUGAUUUAAUCAUUGUAGCUUACUCGCUUAUGUAUUUUACCUACGCUUAGGAUGUUGAUCUCUCACAGUCGAGC